GGAGCACGCCGCGUGAGUGAUGAAGGUUUUCGGAUCGUAAAGCUCUGUUGUUAGGGAAGAACAAGUGCCGUUCAAAUAGGGCGGCACCUUGACGGUACCUAACCAGAAAGCCACGGCUAACUACGUGCCAGCAGCCGCGGUAAUACGUAGGUGGCAAGCGUUGUCCGGAAUUAUUGGGCGUAAAGGGCUCGCAGGCGGUUUCUUAAGUCUGAUGUGAAAGCCCCCGGCUCAACCGGGGAGGGUCAUUGGAAACUGGGGAACUUGAGUGCAGAAGAGGAGAGUGGAAUUCCACGUGUAGCGGUGAAAUGCGUAAAGAUGUGGAGGAACACCAGUGGCGAAGGCGACUCUCUGGUCUGUAACUGACGCUGAGGAGCGAAAGCGUGGGGAGCGAACAGGAUUAAAUACCCUGGUAGUCCACGCCGUAAACGAUGAGUGCUAAGUGUUAGGGGGUUUCCGCCCCUUAGUGCUGCAGCUAACGCAUUAAGCACUCCGCCGGGGGGAG
rnacentral:rRNA from 1 species